UACGAAGGGUGCAAACGUUGCUCGGAAUUAUUGGGCGUAAGCGCACGUAGGCGGCUUGGCAAGUCGGAUGUGAAAUCCCUCGGCUCAACCAAGGAAGUGCAUCCGAAACUGCCGAGCUUGAGUACUUAAGAGGAUCGCGGAAUUCCCGGUGUAGAGGUGAAAUUCGUAGAUAUCGGGAGGAACACCAGUGGCGAAGGCGGCGAUCUGGGAAGAUACUGACGCUGAGGUGCGAAAGCGUGGGGAGCAAACAGG
rnacentral:rRNA from 1 species